GUUGAGUUGCAUCAUCGUUACAGUACGAUCUCGCCAGUAUGAACCCACAGCCGAAUCUCGAUUGGUGUUCUAAAGUAGAGGGGGCUAUUACUGGCCUAGAAAGAAAUGUCCAGGAGCUUUUACGGGGACUUUCUUCUCUUAAAAUCACCCAGGUCCAAGCUAGUUCCUCAGUUGCUCAACCACUCCCCUCUACUGUUACUCCGACGGCUAACGCAAACAACGAGCCUAAGCUUCCCCCCCCUGAGCGUUUUAAUGGGGAUUCCGAACAAUGCAGACCUUUUUUGACCCAGUGUUCCCUGCUAUUUGAACUCCAGCCCACUGCCUUUCCUUCGGAACGGGCCAAGGUGGCCUAUACAAUCUCUCUACUGUCUGGUAAAGCUAAGCUUUGGGGAACUUCUGAGCGGGAGAAUGAUGCUGACUGCUGUGACUCAUUUAUAGAGUUUUCUGAUGAGAUGAAGAGGGUUUUUGAUCCUAUUUGACCUGAGAGAGAGGCUGCCAGGAGACUGUUCUCUCUCAGACAGGGCUCUCGACCUGUUACUGACUACAUUAUCAAUUUCCAUGCCUUGAAGUCUAGUUGUUUUUGGAAUAAUGAAGCCCUGUUUGACGUUUUUUACCAGGGUCUGUCAGAUGAUAUCAAGGAUGAAAUUGCUACUCGUGACCCUCCCAAGACCCUCGAGGCCUUAGAAAGGCUGGCCACACGGAUUGACCAACGCCUUCGCGAACGUAAGAGGGAGAGGUCAUCAUCUAACUAUCAAAGACGAGUCUCAACCGUCCAGGAAACCACCAUGACAGGAUCAUGUUUCUGCUAACCAGGUCUCCAGAGAUUCCUGUGAUUCUGGGACGCCCCUGGCUCAUCAAACACAGUCCAGUCAUCAACUGGCUCACUGAUUUCUGCCUUGUCCUUCUGCUGUUCGGAAAAGUCCUGACCUCACGUUGCUGAAACCUGC